rnacentral:rRNA from 1 species
CCUACGGGUGGCAGCAGUGAGGAAUAUUGGUCAAUGGCCGGAAGGCUGAACCAGCCAAGCCGCGUGAAGGACGAAGGUGCCAAGCAUUGUAAACUUCUUUUGUCAAGGGACAAAAUCAGGCUCGAGAGCCUGACCGAGGGUACUUGAAGAAAAAGCAUCGGCUAACUCCGUGCCAGCAGCCGCGGUAAUACGGAGGAUGCGAGCGUUAUCCGGAUUUAUUGGGUUUAAAGGGUGCGUAGGCGGGCUGUUAAGUCAGCGGUAAAAGCCCGGGGCUCAACCCCGGCGAGCCGUUGAAACUGGCUGUCUUGAGAUGUCGAGAGGUAUGCGGAAUGCGCGGUGUAGCGGUGAAAUGCAUAGAUAUCGCGCAGAACCCCGAUUGCGAAGGCAGCGUGCCGUGCCGCCACUGACGCUGAGGCACGAAAGCGCGGGGAUCGAACAGGAUUAGAUACCCUUGUAGUC